rnacentral:rRNA from 1 species
CCUACGGGAGGCAGCAGUGAGGAAUAUUGGUCAAUGGGCGGAAGCCUGAACCAGCCAAGUAGCGUGCGGGAUGAAGGCCCUACGGGUCGUAAACCGCUUUUGCACGGGGCUAACACCCUCCACUUGUGGAGGUCUGCAGGUACCGGGCGAAUAAGUGCCGGCUAAUUCCGUGCCAGAAGCGGCGGUAAUACGGAGGGGGGAAGCGUUAUCCGGAUGUACGGGGGUUAAAGGGAGCGUAGAAGGUGUAGCAAGUCUGAGGGGAAAGUUCGGGGCCCAACCCCGGGACUGCAUUGGACACUGGUUAACUGGAGUACAGGAGAGGUAGGCGGAAUUCGUGGUGGAGCGGUGAAAUGCGUAGAUAUUAGGAGGAACACCAGUGGCGAAGGCGGCUUACUGGACUAUAACUGACGUUGAGGCUCGAAAGCGUGGGGAGCAAACAGGAGUAGAUACCCCAGUAGUC